ACGGAAGGCAGCAGUGGGGAAUAUUGCACAAUGGGGGAAACCCUGAUGCAGCGACGCCGCGUGAGUGAAGAAGUAUCUCGGUAUGUAAAGCUCUAUCAGCAGGGAAGAAAAUGACGGUACCUGACUAAGAAGCCCCGGCUAACUACGUGCCAGCAGCCGCGGUAAUACGUAGGGGGCAAGCGUUAUCCGGAUUUACUGGGUGUAAAGGGAGCGUAGACGGCGAUGCAAGUCUGAAGUGAAAGGCGGGGGCUCAACCCUUGGACUGCUUUGGAAACUGUAUUGCUAGAGUGCAGGAGAGGUAAGUGGAAUUCCUAGUGUAGCGGUGAAAUGCUUAGAUAUUAGGAGGAACACCAGUGGCGAAGGCGGCUUACUGGACUGUAACUGACGUUGAGGCUCGAAAGCGUGGGGAGCAAACAGGAUUAGAUACCCUGGUA
rnacentral:rRNA from 1 species